GAUGCAUCUGCUCCGAAAGCGCCAAUGAAGAGAGGACAGAGGGGGCAGGAGUGGGGAAGAGCAGAAAACACCCACCAGCAGGGGUGGGCAAAACGGCCAAUUUACAAACUGCCAGGGAGAGAGAUGGGGCGCGCGGGGGGAAGGAGGCUGAAGGGAAAAAUAAGGGCAAGUUUCCACCCCUCCCCAAAGGUCGAGUCUGAAAACGCGUCCCCUGAACAGAGAGUUAAACAGGGACGAGUCAUGGUGUCAAGGGUGGAUCUGAAAAGGAAUUCAGUGUCGUGUAGUUUUCCCUGGGCUAGACUCCGCGCCAUCGCGUUCAACUCCGGUAAAGGACCCUCCAAGUAAAAUGAAUGGGCUUAGUGCAAAAACGAAGCUGAAUUUCCUCCACCGCGGACUCCUCCUGAGGCAGAGGCAGAGGAGGCUCCCGGCCGCCGCGUGGGUUGUAGCCCCGAUUGUGGGAUAAUGUAGAUGAAAUGCCACUGCCGUUGGCCUCGUGCUCCUGGCUGUUCCCGCAUCUUCUGCCACUGGAUAGAUACAAAGUUUUGUAUACUUUCUUAUAUCCCAAGGCUGUGGGAAUCACUUUCUAAUUGCGUCACUUGAGGUUGCUAUCAGAACCCUAAAGUUUUAUUUUCAGGCAGCCCGUCUUCACUCUUGGGACAAGAUACAACACCAGAUACGCCCUUUCAACCUGGCAUCUUCAGGGAAAAUUACUCUGUUAACUCCAGAAGAAAUUUUUUGAAGGGCUUCAAAUGGUUUUGCUUGGAUGAUUUAUUCCUUUCUGUCACUGACAAUAGUGCUAAUUUGCUUUAUCAAGCCCAGAACACAUGAUUUACUUCUGUACCAGACUUCCAACAGAGGCUAAUGAGAAAGAUCCCUGGCAGGGUUGGUGACUACAGAAAGCUUUCCCUCAGUGGUGCAGGCCUGGAGGAAGGAAGAGGUCUUGCAGGAAAAGCUGGAAACCCUACCUAGACCACAGAUCCUGCAGAACAAACGCCGCCAUCAGUCACUGAAGGAAAGGCAGCAAACUGUCACCCCCAGUGCACAGCUGAGGAAGACCCACUGCAGCUGGAGAUGGAUGGGAGAAAAAAAAACCCUCUACACUGCAGAUGAUGCCAGAUAUAAGUCUGACACCAUACUGGCAUUUCUUCCCCUCUAAUGUCAUAUUGUAGAUCUUUUGCUCUUUUUAAAAAUAAUUUAAUAAUGCAUAAAGCUGAAUUACUUCCUGGGCAAUGUAAUUUAAGUUUAGCUCUCAAGUAAAGGGCCAUAUCUUGCCAAGUGAUGUUGUUCUUAUAGACAAUCACCUUCUUCACAGUUGCUGUAUAACCCCUUGGGCUUUUACUGUCAUUAUUUUUAAAAGUAUCAAUAAUUUUAAUGUCAAUGGCACAAUAACCAUCUACCUCAUUAUCAGUCUGCAUACUUACCUGAAUUUAUGUGUUCUGUGAUGAAUAUGAAAA